UUUUUAAAGAACGAAGAGAACGCCUGAGAAUUCGCACAUAAAGCUAGUUCAGAGGUUUAGUUCACAAUACACAUAGAAGAUAAAAUUCACGGAAGAUUUUCUCAUUAAUAACUUACUAAUUCGAGCAUGGAAAUAAAAAUCUUCUUUCUAGGAGCAUGGAAAUUACAGGAAGAGAACAUAAUCAUUUGAUGUGGGGAUCUCACUAAUCAUAAUCAUAAUCAUGGAAAUUACUAAUCAUAAUCAUGGAA
rnacentral:misc_RNA from 1 species